UAAUAUACCGAACUUCUAAUUCAUGAAGUUACGAUGUAUGUUAGCUUAGAAAGCCGUUGGAAUCGUUCCGGCGAAGUUCGGGAGCAUUCGGGUGCUUCGGUGCGCAUAGGGCGCAAAAACGGGACCCGAAAGGCUAUGUUAGACCAUGGACUAAAUCCUGCAUUAGCGUGGAUGAAAAGAUGAUGAAAACAUAUUUGAAAACAUGUUUGGAGAGUCUCGGUUCGAUUUGAAAUGAAUCGGAUGUCAAACGAGCGAAAACGAGCGAAAACGGAGUGAAAAAGGAUAAAGGCUGAAAAUGCUGAAAAAUUGGCUAAGUCUGGAAUUCUGGCCUUUCGGGGACCGGUCUCUCACCGCAAGGACCGGUCUCAGAGCCCCGAAAAUGCCCAGUUCGGGCUGUUGUAAGAGAGGCAUUGUUGAGGGACUUGUUGGCAUAUUAUGCAUGAGUUAUGUGUAUAGAGAGGAGUAGAACCUCUCUCUCUCCCUUUCCCUCACCAUAUUACACCAAAACCUCUCCCUCUCUCUCUCUAGAAAGAAAAGAAGGAGAAGAACAAGGGAAAGAAAGAGAAGAAGAAGAAGAGAAAGAAGAAGAGGAAAAGGAAAAGAAGGUGAAGCAAGUGGAGAGCUUCCCUCCAUCAUCUUCUUCUUCACCUUGGAGCAAGCUUCUUGAGGUAAGCUUCUUGGAGCUUUAAUGGUAGAUCUUUAGGGUUAAGUUCUUAUACUCUAAAGAUGAUUUUAAUGGAAUCUUAGCAUGCUAAAUAGAUGGUUUAUGCUUGAUUCAUGAGAUGAAAUGGGGCAUUUUGCUAUAAUUGCAUUUAGGGCUCCAAAAAGGGGUUUUUGUAAAUAGUUGAGUUUGAUCUCAAUUGACCCUAUACAAACCUAAUUGGGGGUAUAAAGAACGCGUUGGUGCGCUCGGUUCGACAAUCCGACGAGUGUACGCGAAGUUAUUGACGAAACAAUCUGUUUUGGUACAGAUAGCCGCAGCACGCGGGAUAAGCCUCCAAAAAUCAUGAAAAUGGAUCGGGAGCAUCGCGAUGUCGGGGAAUAAACUCCCGAACAGACGGAUCGCGGAUUGGUGACCGUUCGGGUGGUCGCGCAAGAGUUCGAGCCGAACCGGGUCACGGAUGCCGCGGGAGGCCGAUUGCAAGUGACGACAAGCAAUCGGAACGCGUUAAAAGGUGGGUUGUGCUUACCGAAGCGACUAGGUCGCCUUCAUGCCAAAGUGUAGUGUGUUUCACUAUUGAUGCAUGAUAAGAAUGUUAAGUAAGAGUGCAUGAUAAGAAUGCUAAGUAAGAAUGCACCAUAAUGAUACUAAUAAAUGCAUAUAAUGGCAUGAUAAAGAUGAUGAGAAAUGUAUGCAUGUGAAGUAUGCUAAUGAAUGCUAGAGCUAAAUGCUAAAUGAAUAUGUAAGACAUAUGUUAGAUAAAUGCAUGAGUUAAAUGCCAAGUAACAUGAGCUAGAUGCAUGUUUUGGAAAUGGAUGCAUGAUGAAAAUGCUAAAAGAAUGUGUAUUGACAUA
rnacentral:lncRNA from 1 species